rnacentral:rRNA from 1 species
GACGAACGCUGGCGGCGUGCUUAACACAUGCAAGUCGAACGGAAAGGCCCUGCUUUUGUGGGGUGCUCGAGUGGCGAACGGGUGAGUAACACGUGAGUAACCUGCCCCUGACUUUGGGAUAACUUCAGGAAACUGGGGCUAAUACCGGAUAGGAGCUCCUGCUGCAUGGUGGGGGUUGGAAAGUUUCGGCGGUUGGGGAUGGACUCGCGGCUUAUCAGCUUGUUGGUGGGGUAGUGGCUUACCAAGGCUUUGACGGGUAGCCGGCCUGAGAGGGUGACCGGCCACAUUGGGACUGAGAUACGGCCCAGACUCCUACGGGAGGCAGCAGUGGGGAAUAUUGCACAAUGGGCGGAAGCCUGAUGCAGCAACGCCGCGUGCGGGAUGACGGCCUUCGGGUUGUAAACCGCCUUCGCCUGUGACGAAGCGUGAGUGACGGUAAUGGGUAAAGAAGCACCGGCUAACUACGUG